GAAUCCUUUGCAGACGACUUAAAU
rnacentral:snRNA from 1 species